rnacentral:rRNA from 1 species
UAGGGAAUAUUUCACAAUGGAGGAAACUCUGAUGGAGCAAUGCCGCGUGUGUGAUGAAGGCUUUCGGGUCGUAAAGCACUGUUAUAAGGGAAGAACAUGUAGAUCAGGAAAUGGGUUUACACUGACGGUACCUUAUCAGAAAGGGACGGCUAACUACGUGCCAGCAGCCGCGGUAAUACGUAGGUCCCAAGCGUUAUCCGGAAUUAUUGGGCGUAAAGGGUCCGUAGACGGUUUGUUAAGUCUGGUGUGAAAUACAGUGGCUCAACCACUGAAACGCAUCGGAUACUGGCGAACUAGAGUAUGUUAGAGGAUAGUGGAAUUCAAUGUGUAGCGGUGGAAUGCGUAGAUAUAUUGAGGAACACCAGUGGCGAAGGCGGCUAUCUGGGACAUUACUGACGUU